rnacentral:rRNA from 1 species
CCUACGGGUGGCUGCAGUGAGGAAUAUUGGUCAAUGGCCGAGAGGCUGAACCAGCCAAUUCGCGUGAGGGAAGACGGCCCUACGGGUUGUAAACCUCUUUUGUCGGGGAGCAAAGCGAACUACGUUGGGUUCAUUGAGAGUACCCGAAGAAAAAGAAUCGGCUAACUCCGUGCCAGCAGCCGCGGUAAUACGGAGGAUGCGAGCGUUAACCGGAUUUGUUGGGUUAAAAGGGUGCGCAGGCGGAGGUGCAAGUCAGCGGUCAAAUUGCGGGGCUCAACCCCGUACUGCCGUUGAAACUGCAUCCCUUGAGUGCGCGAGAAGUAUGCGGAAUGCGUGGUGUAGCGGUGAAAUGCAUAGAUAUCACGCAGAACUCCGAUUGCGAAGGCAGCAUACCGGCGCGCAACUGACGCUCAUGCACGAAAGCGUGGGUAUCGAACAGGAUUAGAUACCCGAGUAGUC